UACGUAGGGUGCGAGCGUUAAUCGGAAUUACUGGGCGUAAGGCGUGCGCAGGCGGUUAUGUAAGACAGAGGUGAAAUCCCCGGGCUCAACCUGGGAACGGCCUUUGUGACUGCAUAGCUAGAGUACGGUAGAGGGGGAUGGAAUUCCGCGUGUAGCAGUGAAAUGCGUAGAUAUGCGGAGGAACACCGAUGGCGAAGGCAAUCCCCUGGACCUGUACUGACGCUCAUGCACGAAAGCGUGGGGAGCAAAC
rnacentral:rRNA from 1 species